AGUGAACGCUGGCGGUAGGCCUAACACAUGCAAGUCGAACGGCAGCACAGUAAGAGCUUGCUCUUACGGGUGGCGAGUGGCGUACGUGUGAGGAAUACAUCGUAAUCUACUUUUUCGUGUGAGAUAACGUAGGUAAACUUACUCUAAUACCGCAGACGACCUACGGUUGAAAGCAUUGGAUCUUCGGACCUUUCGCGAUUGAAUGAGCCGAUGUCGGAUUAGCUAGUUGGCUGGUGAAAUGCCCACCAAGGCGACGAUCCGUAGCUGGUCUGAGAGGAUGGUCAGCCACACUGGAACUGAGACACGGUCCAGACUCCUACGGGAGGCAGCAGUGGGGAAUAUUGGACAAUGGGCGCAAGCCUGGUCCAGCCAUACCGAGUGGGUGAAGACGGCCUUCGGGUUGUAAAGACCUUUUGUUGGGAAAGAAACGCAGCAGGUUAAUACCAAGCUGUUGUGACGGUAACCAAAGAAUAAGCACCGGCUAACUUCGUG
rnacentral:rRNA from 1 species